CAAAAGAUAGCUAGCUCCAGGCUUGGAGACUGGGUGUGACUUAGUCAAAACUUAAAGGGUGACUAUGAUGUCACAGAGUAUGGCACUGUCCCCGUAUCAGGGCAAGUGGAGUUCUAGAUGUUCAGACUAGGAAGUUCUCUUUAUGCUGUGACAGAGCGGAACUGCAGUAGAGUGCCAAGACUGCCCAGGGGUAGUGUGUCCAUGAUGGUCUUUGGAGUCUGUUUAGUGGUAUAUCUGGGAGUUAUGUGUGAGGGAACCGGAUGGAUCCAGAUGCUGGGGCCUGGGACUUUCAGUUUUUGGGAGAGUCCGUGGCUUAGCUGUGUGAGAACGGCCUCGCCCCUACAGUAGCUGUAACCACCUUCUGCUAGAGCAGCAUAGGCAAGGGGCUCUUAUCAGAUGGGGGUGUGAAGACAAUUCUGAGAGCUCUCAGAAUUUCAAAGAAGGCACUUUGCAGAAACUCUUCAAGAUCAAGGACCCAUUCUUCAUUUAAAAAAAAAGAAGAAGAAGAAGAAGAAGAAGAAAUUCCGUGUAAAUCCAGUAAACAUCAGAAAAUGCCAGACACAGAAUGGAAAUGAACUCUUGCUAUGACUUGAAUAUGGAAUAUUUUCCACAGGCUCAUAUGUUCAAACACUUGGUCUCCAACUGACAGCAGGGACCCUCACUGAUGGAUGGAGGAUACUGUAGACAGGCAUCUGAGGGAUGCAGUGUGGACCUUCUUCUGACCUAGUUCUCUACUUCCUGGCUGGUCAAGAUUCGAGCAGGCUCAUCCGUGAACAGGGCCAUGCCAGCCCAUCUUCCCUGCCUGAUGCUCAGUAAAUCUCAAGUGUGAAUCAGAACGAGCCUCUCUUCCUAGGAGUUGCUUUGUCUGCUAUUUUUGUCAAAGUAACAAGAGAAGUAACCACCACAACUCUGGGACCUAGACCAUCUUCCCACAGGAAGCAGUUGCAAAGAAUCUCCUGCCUGUAAUCACCCUUUAAUUAGCUGACAGAGGAGCCCAGCCACAUGCUCAGAGGAUAAAUACACUUCUGGCAAGCCUUAGGAUUUCGAUUCCCGGGAACCAUGUGGCGGAAGGAGGGGAUCAACUCCCACAGACCGCCCUCUGACCUCCAAACAUGCACGCAUGGGUGCCUGCGUGCGAGUGUGAGCGCGCAGAUGU
rnacentral:lncRNA from 1 species